rnacentral:lncRNA from 1 species
GGUUCACAGAAGCUGCCGGACACCUCCAGGCCAGAUGAAUCCCUGGAGUAACUCCAGCAACGCUCACGAAGGAUGAACUGGCCCCUGCUUGGCCCAUGGCAGGUCCUGCUUGGUGAACACCACAAAGCUGGGUUUCUCCUGGGUGCCUUCGGAGCCUGCCACCAACCCCUGAACAUGCCAGGGACCUGGAAACCUGGCCCUGCUUCGAAGGAGCCCAUUGCCCCUCCUGAGCCUCCUUUCUCCCUGUUGCCACUUUUCCAAGUUGGCAGAACUUCUGCUGCACAGGGCUGGGACAUGUUUGGGUUUGGACAGCAGAAGAACUGACCUCAGCACUGAAACUUCUGAAUUUGCAGGGAGGGCUCUGCCUUCUCUGUGUUCUCUGAAGUUCUCUUAAUUUAUGAUGCUCCAGGAAAAUGUUACUGUCAAUA